rnacentral:rRNA from 1 species
AUACAGAGGGUGCGAGCGUUAAUGGGAAUUACUGGGCGUAAAGCGCGCGUAGGCGGCUUAUUAAGUCAGAUGAGAAAUCCCCGGGCUCAACCUGGGAACUGCAUCUGAUACUGGUAAGCUAGAGUUUUGGAGAGGGAAGUAGAAUUUCAGGUGUAGCGGUGAAAUGCAUAGAGAUCUGAAGGAAUACCAGUGGCGAAGGCGACUUCCUGGCCAAAAACUGACGCUGAGGUGCGAAAGCGUGGGUAGCAAACGGGAUUAGAAACCCCAGUAGUCC